GCCGGGGGCGGGCGCCAGGAGUUAAGAUGGCGGCGGGAGCGGUGCCGGGGGAGAAGCGCGGUGCUCGUGCCAGGCCUGGUGCCCGGCUCCCUUCCUCGCUGUGGGUGCUCUUGUCAGGGAGCCGCGGUAAUGGCAGCGCGCGAGUCAACCGUGUAGCUGAGGGAGCCCGGCCGCGCGGGAGCGGAGCGGGAAGCGGCUGCGUGCCGCCGGAACAGCGCUUUGUCCCGUGUGGAGAUGCGGCAGCGAGAAACGCGUUCCUUAACCGAUGAAAUAAAUAUUCGCCCACGCUGUGCAAGCAGUGCUCGUUUUACGUUGUUAAGCCUUUUCCUACGUGCCGUUGCGGGCAGCGGGGCUGUGCGCUGUGCCGACUGCUGCUGUGGGACGCCCGGCAGCACCGCGCGCCUCCUGCGAGGAUGUCAGGGCUUCAAACGAGGGUUUGUCGUCCGUAAAUAGAUCGCCUUCAGUGCCCGCUGAAUGCUGAGCGCUGUGACGAGAAGUGCCGAGUUUGUGCUGGAAGGCCAAAUAUUACAGCUGUGAGUUUAUGCAGACAUUUUCUGUGAAACCAUUCUAGCCGUACUGAGCUUGGCUGAAGGCUCCCACAGCCUCAGCACAGAAUGGAUUGGCCCUAAUUCUGUCCUGCAGAACUAGUGAUUGAGUAUCCCUAACGAAAGGGCUGGAAGAUCUGCAGAUCCCAUCUUGAGCUGUGAACUCCUCAGGCUGGAGGAGAUGGAUAUCCACAUCUGGAAGUGGCAGUAGCACAUCUGGACAGGGUCAUGGAGACUCGGCAAUUCCUGGGGGCUGUCAAACUGAUUACACGCAGCAAACCAGCCGGUGUGCCUCUGCCUGCUGCUUAGAGUAAGCACUGAUAUGUCAGUCAGACUUUACUAUCAAGUACGAGCUUAUGUGCGCUUCAAGUGUUGUUCAGCCUUCAACUCCUUGGUGUAUUCAGUCAUUUAAAAACUUUCAUACACUCUAAAAAAAAAUGUUGUCUUGCACUGCACUGCCAGGGGGAUCUUUGUUUCAAAUACAGAGCGUCAGCCUGCAAAGCUUCUGUGGAAGACCAGGCUCCCAGUGUUAAAAUGAUCCUUGUUUUCUAUUUCUAUACAAUAAUUUCUGUGAGAUUCUUCUGGAUGGAGGGCUAUAAAAACGUUAAGCUGCUAUUCAUCACGCUGACUUGCAUGAUUUUAUGUGUGCCCAUUCUGUAUAGCAGGAAUACUUAGUGGGAAAUUUAUUCUUCGCUUUUUCACACACCAUUACAUUGUAUUUGUGAGGAUUUAGCACGUUUUCUGGCUUCGCUCACCAAAUCAAGGGUCCACGUUUAAUAGGUACAGCUGAUGUUACAAAAACUAGGCACAAUUACCAAUUAUGUCUCUGUCUUGUAGUAAUAUAUCUAUCUAAAGAAAGAAACAUUGGGAGAUCUGAACUUCUGCAUCAAAGAGGAGACUGUCUUUAUGAAUAGGCCCUGUUUAUUCCAUUCUUGAGAACAACAAGCAACUACCACUAUACUCUAUGUAAACUGUAAGGCCAUUAAUCACUAUCAGGAGCUGCCAACACCCCCCAGACGUUUACAUAUACACAGAGGAAAACGAACACGAGUUUUCUUCACUUAUCUGAGCGUCACUGCCACCCCGAAGGAUGUGAAGAUCUAACUCCUUUAUUUGACAGCACGGGAGGACUCGGGCACUCAGCUGGAAAGGUACCACAGACAGUCCAGUUUUGUACCUUCAACCAUACAACUUGAAGUUCAGAGAAGAGCAGGAAUACAAACUGUAAUACCAAUGGAAAAAAGCUACUUGUGAUGCAGGCAGCAGAGCUACUUGGAUGGUGUCGUUCAGGAAAAAGAGUGAGCUGUCUAUUAUAUCUGAUAUAAUAUAUACAUAUACAGGAGAAGGGGAGAGGAGGAGGACACCAUAUUCUCCAAACGCAUUAACAUAUCUCUUAUUUCACAGGAUUGUAACUGUACAUUUUAACCCCUCAAUAGUUACUCAAGGACUGAAACUGCCUUAGGUGUUAAUUACAGAUAAUGAAAAACAUUAGGUAGAAGUGAAGGAAAGUGACUGACUAAGUAUUGAUUACAAAAACAAGUUUUUCUAAGUGGGAUGUUUGUUUUUAGUGUUAUCAUGAAAUCAAGCAUAGUCUUAUGUCUGAGCAUCACAUGUAAUUUCUGGAAAACCUUGUGUAACAGCAGAUAACUCAUGUAACAAGGCUCUAUAUCACUAGAUGCCAUUUUCCUUCCUUUUUAAUGAAACUACAUGGGCUUUAGGAUCCUUACAAAGAGGAACAGUUUCAGACUGAGUUGAGAAUUGUGCUGCUUGCUUUUUCACAAAUACUUGAGUCAUGUUCUUCCUGAGCAUAAAUGUUGACAGUGCAGCAAGAACAAACAGUAAAUCAAUUCAGUGGCAACAGCCACUAGGUGCUCUGCUUUCAUCCUUCCUUCUCAACAACUACUCUUACUCAGUGGCUUCGUUUUAUUUCAUUACAUCUCUAUAAAGCAAUGAAGGGAGUGCAGAGAAAGCAUCAUUCCAUGAGUUGCUGUCAAACUGAGCCAAGCCCCAGCAGUAUGUAAGCACCUGUUGUUGGGAGACCUUUUAUGAAUUAUACCCAAAAGUCAGACUGCAGCUGAACUGAAAGUGAGGUUCUCCUUUGAAAAGGCUGUAAAAGCAACUGGUCAGUUUGGGUGAAAGGGUAUACAUCAGUGGAACAGACAAAUCAUACUUCAGGAAUACAUACUGCUUUAUGUGUGGAAGAAGUAGUAGGGAGUAAGCAUAUGUCCCUUUGAUCAUCACAGAACUGGCUUUCAGUUAUACAGCCUACAUUUUCAAAUUGUGGACCUUGAAAGACCAAUCUAUAGAACAGAAUAGUAUAUUACCAGUGAUAAAAAGGGAAAAAAAGCAAACAUACACAGUUGCAUAGUGAAGAGAUUAAAGGAAAACAGAAGAAAGAAAAUCAUGCUGCGUACUUGAGCUUACCUUACCUUGUCUGAGUGUGAAAACAUCCAUAUUAAUCAAUCUCGGGAGAUGCAGACAGAGCACAAGAGAAGCUUUGUUGCUGUGUUGGGUAUCAGGAAGGCCUUGAGACCACCCUCGAGGGGAGAAGUUGAUCAUCUUGCAUUAAGUUGUGAUGCUUUGUUGCUUUGUCUAGCACAGGUGGCAGCUCCUCUCCUGUUUGCAUGGGGAAGCACAGUGCAAACUGUGGUUGUGCCACAGCAGUUGUGGGUGGCAGUGGGAGCAGACGUAGCUGGCAGGAAGUGACAGCAAGGAACACAAAGGAAAAAAACCUUGGGAUUUGGAAGCAAAAGGUGUGAACGGGAAGUGGGAUACUAUAGUGGUGCCUCUGAGGAGGCAGGAGCUGAUCCAGGCCUUGUUGGCUAAGUGCAUUGGAAGGGCAACUUGAGGAGGCGGCCAAGGAAAGGAAAGGGAGGCAGAGAGAAUGUGAGAAUGUUGUGUGACUGGAAAGCAAACCACAAAGGGCAAGUUUCUACUUCAUCAAAGCUGUGUCUGUUUCUUAGCUUGAUCUGCAUCAUGAUAUUCACUUGCGAGUGAUAUGCAGCAUUUUUGGUAGAAAAGAGUGGCUCAGCUGUUACUUUAAGAGCAAAACAGGGCUCACUGUAGCUAUGAGGCUGCACUGAGCUCUUCCACAACAGGUGGAAAGGGACAAAAAGGGUUAUUUAAAGGCCGCUUGCCCUGGUUGCAGUGGCAGGUGUGCUGGCAGACGCUGGGGCUCAGUGACCUUCUAGGGCUGUGCUCCCACUCCAACGGAGUGGGCUGGAUGUGACUGACAGGGCCUCUGUGCCCUCGGAACGUAACGUCUGAACUGCUGUGAGUCAUAUUCCAGCUAGAGGUGGCAGUGCAGAGGCAGCGGCCGCCAUGUCCGAGGGCCACCCCUCAGGCAGUACAGGAGAUGCCGAUGCCGGGCCAGCAGGGCCACCUCAGGCAGUGAGGCUGCUCGGGGCGGCUGCGUCUUAGGAUCGUCGGUCCCAAACACUCACGCAGACAUAUUUCCCCUCCGGGACUUCUGCCGGCCCCUCGUGACGACGUGAUCACCCCGCCACAGACGGCGUCUCCACACGGGCCAGCGGCGGCGCUAAGGAGACGCCCGCGCUUCGAGCGCGGCUCUCACGGUGAAGGUGCGCGGCCACGUGCGCUGGGUGACGGCAACGGCGGCGCGCACGCAUGCGCAUAUCGCCCUCAGCCGCUCCUCACAUGCACACCUGCGCGCGCCGCCGCCCAUCUCAUCCCCCCCGCAUCGCCUCCCUCCUUCCUUCUCUUCUCCCGCCUCUCGCGCCGUCCUCUG
rnacentral:lncRNA from 1 species